rnacentral:lncRNA from 1 species
AGCUUAUAAUCAUAAAAAGACUAAUCAUCUCUGCAAACUUUGUUUUCUGGAUAUUUUUAAUGUUCACUAAACCAACAUUAAGUUGUUUUUCUUUUUACAUUACCAACAUUUUAUAAAUCCAUUUUCAAAUAAUUGAACUUUUGUACUUAUCAUAUAUUUUGGAAUAUUUUUGUUGAUAAUCAUGAUUCACCAAUGUUACAUGGGUUAUAUAACCGUGGAGUAGUUGAAAAAAUAAGAGAUAAUCAUGGAUCUUAUUUUUCUAGCUUGUAAAGUUUGAUCAAAAUUGAGAGCAUAGUAAAUGUAAAUGUUUAAAAUCUAUUUAGAAAGAAAAAAAAUCUAUUUAAAAAGGAAUUGUAUUAUAGAAAAAUAAUAUCAGCAUUUGGAUUUAUACAACUUC